AUUGAACGCUGGCGGCAGGCCUAACACAUGCAAGUCGAGCGGUAGAGAGGUGCUUGCAUCUCUUGAGAGCGGCGGACGGGCGAGUAAUGCCUAGGAAUCUGCCUAGUGGUGGGGGAUAACGUUCGGAAACGGACGCUAAUACCGCAUACGUCCUACGGGAGAAAGCAGGGGGACCUUCGGGCCUUGCGCUAUCAGAUGAGCCUAGGUCGGAUUAGCUAGUAGGUGAGGUAAUGGCUCACCUAGGCGACGAUCCGUAACUGGUCUGAGAGGAUGAUCAGUCACACUGGAACUGAGACACGGUCCAGACUCCUACGGAGGCAGCAGUGGGAAUAUUGGACAAUGGGCGCAAGCCUGAUCCAGCCAUGCCGCGUGUGUGAAGAAGGCCUUCGGUUGGUUAAGUACGUACUUACUACGCGAGGAGGAAGAGUAGUGUG
rnacentral:rRNA from 1 species